rnacentral:rRNA from 1 species
UUGCUGGCACAUAGUUAGCCGGUGCUUCUUCUGUAGGUACCGUCACUUUCGCUUCUUCCCUACUGAAAGAGGUUUACAACCCGAAGGCCUUCAUCCCUCACGCGGCGUCGCUGGGUCAGAGUUUCCUCCAUUGCCCAAUAUUCCCCA